GACGAACGCUGGCGGCGUGCUUAACACAUGCAAGUCGAACGCUGAAGCCCUUCGGGGUGGAUGAGUGGCGAACGGGUGAGUAACACGUGGGUAAUCUGCCCUGCACUCUGGGAUAAGCCUUGGAAACGGGGUCUAAUACCGGAUAGGACACAUCGCCGCAUGGUGUGUGUGUGGAAAGUUCCGGCGGUGCAGGUUGAGCCCGCGGCCUAUCAGCUUGUUGGUGGGGUGAUGGCCUACCAAGGCGACGACGGGUAGCCGGCCUGAGAGGGUGACCGGCCACACGGGGACUGAGACACGGCCCAGACUCCGACGGGAGGCAGCAGUGGGGAAUCUUGCGCAAUGGGCGAAAGCCUGACGCAGCAACGCCGCGUGGGGGAUGACGGCCUUCGGGUUGUAAACCUCUUUCGACCGGGACGAAGGAUUCGUUUGACGGUACCGGUAGAAGAAGCACCGGCUAACUACGUGCCAGCCGCCGCCGUAAGAC
rnacentral:rRNA from 1 species